GAUGAACGCUGGCGGCGUGCCUAAUACAUGCAAGUCGAGCGAACAGACGAGGAGCUUGCUCCUCUGACGUUAGCGGCGGACGGGUGAGUAACACGUGGAUAACCUACCUAUAAGACUGGGAUAACUUCGGGAAACCGGAGCUAAUACCGGAUAAUAUAUUGAACCGCAUGGUUCAAUAGUGAAAGACGGUUUUGCUGUCACUUAUAGUUGGAUCCGCGCCGCAUUAGCAAGUUGUUAAGGUAACGGCUUACUAAGGCGACGAUGCGUGGCCGACCUAAGAGGGUGUUCGGCCACCCGGGAACUGAGACACGGUCCAGACUCCUACGGGAGGCAGCAGUAGGGAAUCUUCCGCAAUGGGCGAAAGCCUGACGGAGCAACGCCGCGUGAGUGAUGAAGGUCUUCGGAUCGUAAAACUCUGUUAUUAGGGAAGAACAAAUGUGUAAGUAACUAUGCACGUCUUGACGGUACCUAAUCAGAAAGCCACGGCUAACUACGUG
rnacentral:rRNA from 1 species